CCAGCAUUCAGCGCUUAAUCAGCCCCGAGUGGAGGGGGCAGUUAAAAGUCAACAACAUUGAUGGGUUUGGAGUCACAAUAGGUCAGACCGGGUAAGUAAGAGUGGCAGACUUCUCUCCGUGAGGGACAAUCGUGGACCAGGAGGAUAUGAAGAGAUGGACAAAGUGCCACAUGAAAGAUUACACUCUUCGUUUCACGAGCUCUGAGUUCCAUUGGUGUGAUUCCUGGAUGCUUUAGCUACCUGAAGACUAGCCGCUCCACAAAUCAAUCUUGGGACCAAGGGUGGAGUUGAGAAGAGAAGACAUGGAUGUGUCAUUGGUCCCAGAUCCUAAAUGUCUUCAUGAGUGAUAUGAAAGAUCCCACAACUCUUUAUGAAAGAGAACAUUGGAAGUUUCCUGGUGUCCUGGCUAAAACUCAUCAUCUCCAGCGCAAAAUUGUUGAUCAAUUAUUUUCGUGCCAGCACGGGACCCUGUCGCCUGCAAGUUGCCAGCUCUGUCUGUCUGUGCUACAAUACAUCCAUACAUUAAUGUACUGGAACUUGCUGGGUAUACAGAGGUCAUGAAAGAGUCAAUAUGAUUGCAAGAGCAUUCUUCUUAAAAUUCAGGUGAACACUUUUUCAGGUUCACACAAGAAAAUAACAAAUCCUGCAAAGUUAUUCCAAUUUGUGAACAUGUACCCAAACAUAAAUAUUACUUUCAU